GUGCUUAACACAUGCAAGUCGAGCGGGUUUCUGCAGUGUAUCGCAGGAGCUAGCGGCAGACGGGUGAGUAAUACUUGGGCAAUCUACCCUCGAGUGGGAAACAACCGGCCGAAAGGCUGGCUAAUGUCCCAUAAGACCACAGGACGGCAUCGUCUAGGGGUAAAAGCUCCGCAAGGGGCGCUGGAGGAGGAGCCUGAGUCCUAUCAUGGUAGUUGGUGAGGUAACGGCUCACCAAGCCUUUGACGGGUAGCCGGCCUGCAAAGGGUGAUCGGCCACACUGGCACUGAGACACGGGCCAGAC
rnacentral:rRNA from 1 species